GGAAAGAUGCUCGAGUGGCUGAAGAGGCACGUCUGGAAAGCGUGUGGCCGCCUAAAGCGGCUCCAGGGUUCGAAUCCCUGUCUUUCCGCCA
rnacentral:tRNA from 1 species